CUCUUCCACUUCCUCCUUCCAGUAGGUUCCACCCCAAUUCCCUCAAGGGAUCGAGAUGAACAACUCCACCUCGCCGGCGGUGGACUGGGGUGACGACUCCGCGGGGGAGAUGGACUCUGAGGACGCAGCGCCUUCCUCCUCCAUGGGCAUCAGCAUCGCCAUUGGCAGCAUGAUGGAGGUCGACGCCGACGACCGCCAACCCAGUCCGCCUCCCGACGCCGACUUCUUCAACGCCUUCCCCGACGACUUCGACGACCAAGACCUCGACUGAUUGCCGCCGCCGCUUCUUUGCUCGCCCGGACCCCUUCCGCCAGUUGGGAGUCGUAUACGAACCUACCUACUUCCAAGGAAGCACCAGUCAUCCAUCACCUUGUACAUGUUUUUAUGUUGCAGCACUAGUGGUGUUUAAUUGUCAGCUGCGAUCAUGUGAGAACCUGACCUGGUACAUUAUGUAUAUAAGAAGAAUAAGAACCUGUUAACUUAUAUGGUAUAGUAUGUAAGUUCAUGGCAGAAUGUUCUUGUUGGUUGGAUUCGUGCGCAGUUGAGCAGUGCUGGUGUUGUAAUGUGAUGGUCGCGACUGCGUUGUUCGCAUUUGUGAUGGUUUUGCUUUUCAUUGGUGAAUGGUGAAUGGUGAAGACAAAGCUGAAUCUAC